rnacentral:rRNA from 1 species
UAAGGAGGAUGCGAGCGUCAUCCGGAUUUAUUGGGUUUAAAGGGUGCGCAGGCGGGCUGUUAAGCCGGCGGUAAAAAUUCGGGGCUCAACCCCGUCCGGCCGUUGAAACUGGGGGCCUUGAGUGGGCGAGAAGAAGGCGGAAUGCGUGGUGUAGCGGUGAAAUGCAUAGAUAUCACGCAGAACCCCGAUUGCGAAGGCAGCAUACCGGCGCCCGACUGACGCUGAAGCACGAAAGCGUGGGUAUCGAACAGG